rnacentral:tRNA from 1 species
GCACCCGUAGCUCAGUCGGAUAGAGCAGUGCCCUCCUAAGGCAUGUGCGGGGGUUCGAUUCCUCUCGGGUGCACCA